GAUGAACGCUGGUGGCGUGCCUAAUACAUGCAAGUCGAGCGAACGGACGAGAAGCUUGCUUCUCUGAUGUUAGCGGCGGACGGGUGAGUAACACGUGGAUAACCUACCUAUAAGACUGGGAUAACUUCGGGAAACCGGGGCUAAUACCGGAUAAUAUUUUGAACCGCAUGGUUCAAAAGUGAAAGACGGUCUUGCUGUCACUUAUAGAUGGAUCCGCGCUGCAUUAGCUAGUUGGUAAGGUAACGGCUUACCAAGGCAACGAUGCAUAGCCGACCUGAGAGGGUGAUCGGCCACACUGGAACUGAGACACGGUCCAGACUCCUACGGGAGGCAGCAGUAGGGAAUCUUCCGCAAUGGGCGAAAGCCUGACGGAGCAACGCCGCGUGAGUGAUGAAGGUCUUCGGAUCGUAAAACUCUGUUAUUAGGGAAGAACAUAUGUGUAAGUAACUGUGCACAUCUUGACGGUACCUAAUCAGAAAGCCACGGCUAACUACGUG
rnacentral:rRNA from 1 species